AAAUCAAGUUUGCAAGUCAGUCUACUGUCAGACUUAAAUAUCAUUUCGCAUUUGCAGAGCUUAUUACAUGACCUGAGGUUGUAAUGAUGUUUACAUAUAAAGAAUAAUGUUUCAAAUCAAGUCAUUGGGGAAAUUCAGAAAAGGUAGUAGCAAUCUGCACACAACACAGACCUACAUGUGGUAAAGACCAGAUAAUGUUUUAGUGGUACAAAUAUUCUUCAGAAAGUUGGAGACAAGUCCACUGCUCCUGAACAUUUUGUCACUGAAUAUUUUCUGUAAACCUUGUGUGGCUCAGCGGUAUAGUAGCUGCCUUACAGCGGCGGAGACCUGGGUUUGAUUCUGACUACGGGUGCUGUCUGUAUGGAGUUUAUAUGUUCUCCUGUGACCUGCGUGGGUUUUCUCUGGAAUCUCUGGAUUCCUACCACCCCACUCCAAAGCCCUACAGGUUUGCAGGCUAAUUGGCUUGGUAUAAUUGUAAAUUGUGUUACCCAGUGGGGUGGAAGAUUGCAACCUUCACGUGGUCUGCCCUGUUUCGACGAAUGCAAUCAACCCAGCGUGCACAAUGAAAUAAGAUCAAAUAGAACAAGCUGUCCUACAACUUUAGGCUGUGCACGGCAUAGGCAAGAAGAAGAAGGAGGGGUGUUUCCCAGUGUGUGGGGAUCGCUGGUCGGAGUGGACUCGAUGCUGGAAUCUUGAGUAAAACACAAAAUGUUGGAGUAACUCAGCAGGUCAAGCAGCAUCUCAGGAGGACAGGAAUAGGCGAUGUUCCGGAUCGCCUAUCUUUAGACUGGGACCCUUCAUCAUAUAUAUUUACACAAGGAAAUGGAGGGAUAUGGAUCGCAUGUAAACAGAGAUAGUUUAACUUGGCAUCAUGUUUGACAUGGACCUUGUGGGCCGAAAGGCCUGUUCCUGUGGUGUACUAUUCCAAAUUCCUCUUCCCACAAAUGCAGCCUGACCUGCUAAAUGUGUCCAGUAUUUUCAAUUUAUAUGAAAGGAUUCAGUAUCUGAUCCAAGUUCUACCUUUGCUGUUUUGGUAUAUAGCCUUUAAAAAAUGAUUUACACUUCAAAUUACUGGGUAAGAUAAGUUAAACCUAUCAAUGAACCCAGAUCUAUUAAGGCGUUAUUGAGCCCCAAAUCACAUCAUAUCAAGAGCAGUUGAUCUGUCAGGUGGAGCAGAAUGGACAGAGCUUGGAGGUAUUGUCACUGCAGCUUUAGGUCAUAUCUCAGGAUGCUGUGCAUCAGUCAAGAGUGCCAGGGUGAAAAAAAACACUCUCAUUUUAUCACGCUCUGUGCCAAGAUUUAAUCUCAUGGUUGGACUUCAUUUAAGGAACCCAGAAUUAAAGACAGUGAUCGUAAAUCAUGAACUCCAGACAUCUCUUUCAAAUGGAACGAUAAAAUAAUUGCAGUGGACGUCAGAAUUGGUUUUGAGGAUAAUAAUGGGUCCCACGGUGAGAAACAGUGAAUAAAUAUCUUCACCCUAAGUCCAUAAUCAAGUUGAAAUUUAAUUCCGUGGAAGCUGUUUUCAGUUUUAUUGUUGUUACUAGGGGGAAAAAAUGAUUCCCUGAUAAUGACAGUAAGAUACGGUUUUCCAAGAUCAAUAGGUUUAAGGAUAUUAAUUCUUGUAUUUCAACAUCGACAAUUUACGACAUCAUCGACAUUGUUCAAAGUUUCAUGCAUUGUCACACUUAUUUUUGCCAUCCUUACAAUUGCUAUUAUCUCUAUUUCACUGUUUAUAAUUAGAGGCGAAAUGUAUCUAAUUUGUGAUUUUUCCUUUCUGGAUUUGUGUUGUUUCAACAUAAUAAUGUAUUUUAUGGUCACGACUAUAUUUAAAUGGUUGGAUUUCUGUUGGUGGCAUUCAUCAAUAGUGGGUUCUGCUCCUAUCAUGUAGAAACAAGGAAAUGCCGAUACCUUUGGGUUAUGUAUCUGUGAACAUAUGGCAAUAAAAACGCUCUUGACUCUUCA